UGGGGAAUAUUGCACAAUGGGCGAAAGCCUGAUGCAGCGACGCCGCGUGAGGGAUGACGGCCUUCGGGUUGUAAACCUCUUUCAGCAGGGAAGAAGCGAAAGUGACGGUACCUGCAGAAGAAGCGCCGGCUAACUACGUGCCAGCAGCCGCGGUAAUACGUAGGGCGCAAGCGUUGUCCGGAAUUAUUGGGCGUAAAGAGCUCGUAGGCGGUUAGUCGCGUCUGCUGUGAAAACUCGAGGCUCAACCUCGGGCUUGCAGUGGGUACGGGCUGACUAGAGUGCGGUAGGGGUGACUGGAAUUCCUGGUGUAGCGGUGGAAUGCGCAGAUAUCAGGAGGAACACCGAUGACGAAGGCAGGUCACUGGGCCGCAACUGACGCUGAGGAGCGAAAGCAUGGGGAGCGAACAGGAUUAGAUACCCUGGUAGUCCAUGCCGUAAACGUUGGGCACUAGGUGUGGGGUCCAUUCCACGGAUUCCGUGCCGCAGCAAACGCAUUAAGUGCCCCGCCUGGGGAGUACGGCCGCAAGGCUAAAACUCAAAGGAAUUGACGGGGUCAUAGCUGUUUCCU
rnacentral:rRNA from 1 species